AGGGGGGGGGGGGUUGCCAUCGGAGGCUUGAUCGUGGAUACCAAGGUGUUCUACUGGCCUAGAAAGUGCACCUAGCUUUGCUGAUUCAAGGACAUGAGUAGGAAAAGGAGCUUUUCUUCAGCUUCAGAAGAUAUUGGAUUGGGGUGAGAACAAUAUUGCCAUUGCUGCUGAAACUACUGCUCCUGGGGCGUUGUUUCAGCAAGUUGUUGUUGUUUGGCAUAAGCUUGACCAUCCAGAUAUUUCGAAGUUUGUUGGAGCUUCAAUGGGAAGUUUGAAUCUUAAAAUCAUUGCCAAAGGCACAUCAAGUGAUGGUCAGUCAUAAGUCACCUCCCUGCAGUUCCAGAGAUUAACUUCAAUUUUGCAAUUUGUAAAUAUACGUCUGGUUUAAACAUCAACUUUUGUAAUUUGUACGGUUAUAACAUUUUCAAUUUACGUUUUUAGCUUAUGAUUGUGGCUGUUUUACAUACGACAUUUGAGAAAACAGAAAAAAGCAAACCUGCAGCGUUGAUAUCCUUUGUAAACUCGAAAACGUUUUUAGAGGCAAGAAACUCUUAUUCUAUCA